rnacentral:rRNA from 1 species
UACGUAGGGGGCAAGCGUUGUCCGGAAUCAUUGGGCGUAAAGCGCGUGUAGGCGGCGCGAUAAGUCUGCUGUGAAAGUCCAGGGCUCAACCCUGGGAUGGCGGUGGAUACUGUCGAGCUCGAGUCCGGAAGAGGCGAGUGGAAUUCCUGGUGUAGCGGUGAAAUGCGCAGAUAUCAGGAGGAACACCAAUGGCGAAGGCAGCUCGCUGGGACGGUACUGACGCUGAGACGCGAAAGCGUGGGGAGCAAACAGG